CACGUAGGGGGCAAGCGUUGUCCGGAAUCAUUGGGCGUAAAGAGCUCGUAGGCGGCUCAGUAAGUCGGGUGUGAAACCCUCAGGCUCAACCUGGGGACGCCACCCGAUACUGCUGUGGCUAGAGUCCAGUAGGGGAGUGUGGAAUUCCCGGUGUAGCGGUGAAAUGCGCAGAUAUCGGGAGGAACACCAGCGGCGAAGGCGGCACUCUGGGCUGGAACGUGACGCUGAGGAGCGAAAGCGUGGGUAGCAAACGAGG
rnacentral:rRNA from 1 species